GACGAACGCUGGCGGCGUGCCUAAUACAUGCAAGUAGAACGCUGAAGAGAGGAGCUUGCUCUUCUUGGAUGAGUUGCGAACGGGUGAGUAACGCGUAGGUAACCUGCCUUGUAGCGGGGGAUAACUAUUGGAAACGAUAGCUAAUACCGCAUAACAAUGGAUGACACAUGUCAUUUAUUUGAAAGGGGCAAUUGCUCCACUACAAGAUGGACCUGCGUUGUAUUAGCUAGUAGGUGAGGUAAUGGCUCACCUAGGCGACGAUACAUAGCCGACCUGAGAGGGUGAUCGGCCACACUGGGACUGAGACACGGCCCAGACUCCUACGGGAGGCAGCAGUAGGGAAUCUUCGGCAAUGGGGGCAACCCUGACCGAGCAACGCCGCGUGAGUGAAGAAGGUUUUCGGAUCGUAAAGCUCUGUUGUAAGUCAAGAACGGGUGUGAGAGUGGAAAGUUCACAAUGUGACGGUAGCUUACCAGAAAGGGACGGCUAACUACGUG
rnacentral:rRNA from 1 species